rnacentral:rRNA from 1 species
CCUACGGGAGGCAGCAGUGAGGAAUAUUGGUCAAUGGGCGCGAGCCUGAACCAGCCAAGUAGCGUGAAGGAUGACUGCCCUACGGGUUGUAAACUUCUUUUAUAAAGGAAUAAAGUGAGGCACGUGUUCCUUUUUGUAUGUAUUUUAUGAAUAAGGAUCGGCUAACUCAGUGCCAGCAGCCGCGGUAAUACGGAGGAUCCGAGCGUUAUCCGGAUUUAUUGGGUUUAAAGGGAGCGUAGAUGGGUUGUUAAGUCAGUUGUGAAAGUUUGCGGCUUAACCGUAAAAUUGCAAUUGAUACUGGCAGCCUUGAGUACAGUAGAGGUAGGCGGAAUUCGUGGUGUAGCGGUGAAAUGCUUAGAUAUCACGAGGAACUCCGAUUGCGAAGGCAGCCUACUAAACAGCCACUGACAUUGAUGCUCGAAAGUGUGGGUAUCAAACAGGAUUAGAUACCCUAGUAGUC